rnacentral:rRNA from 1 species
GUCGAGAAUCUUUCACAAUGGGGGCAACCCUGAUGGAGCGACGCCGCGUGGAGGAUAAGGUCUUCGGAUUGUAAACUCCUGUCAUGCGUGAACAAGGUUGCUUGGUUAAUACCUGGGCAAAUUGAUGGUAACGCAAGAGGAAGAGACGGCUAACUCUGUGCCAGCAGCCGCGGUAAUACAGAGGUCUCAAGCGUUGUUCGGAAUCACUGGGCGUAAAGGGUGCGUAGGUGGCGUGGUAAGUCAGAUGUGAAAGCCCGGGGCUCAGCCUCGGAACUGCAUCCGAUACUGCCAUGCUAGAGUACUGGAGAGGUGACUAGAAUUCUCGGUGUAGCAGUGAAAUGCGUAGAUAUCGAGAGGAAUACCAAAGGCGUAGGCAGGUCACUGGACAGUUACUGACACUGAGGCACGAAGGCCAGGGGAGCGAACGGGAUUAGAAACCCUAGUAGUCC